UACGUAGGGGGCAAGCGUUGUCCGGAAUCAUUGGGCGUAAAGAGCGUGUAGGCGGCCCGGUAAGUCCGCUGUGAAAGUCGGGGGCUCAACCCUCGAAUGCCGGUGGAUACUGUCGGGCUAGAGUGCGGAAGAGGCGAGUGGAAUUCCUGGUAUAGCGGUGAAAUGCGCAGAUAUCAGGAGGAACACCGAUUGCGAAGGCAGCUCGCUGGGACGUAACUGACGCUGAGACGCGAAAGCGUGGGGAGCAAACAGG
rnacentral:rRNA from 1 species